rnacentral:lncRNA from 1 species
UCCCAGCAGAAGUGCAUCAUGAUGUUUGCCCUGGUGUGCUGCUUUGCCAUUCUGGUUGCACUGAUCUUUUCAGCCGUGGACAUCAUGGGAGAGGAUGAGGAUGGACUCUCAGAAAAAAAUUGCCAAAAUAAAUGUUGGUAGGAGAAUUGCCCUGGUGGAAAAUAUUCCUGAAGGCCUUAACUAUUCAGAAAAUGCACCAUUUCACUUAUCACUUUUCCAAGGCUGGAUGAAUUUACUCAACAUGGCCAAAAAGUCUGUUGACAUAGUGUCUUCCCAUUGGGAUCUCAACCACACUCAUCCGUCAGCAUGUCAGGGUCAACGUCUUUUUGAAAAGUUGCUCCAACUGACUUCGCAAAAUAUUGAGAUCAAGCUAGUGAGUGAUGUAACAGCUGAUUCAAAGGUAUUAGAAGCCUUGAAAUUAAAGG